ensembl:lncRNA TRHDE-AS1 TRHDE antisense RNA 1
GAUGGCUAAGGAACUCUGACAGGAAGAGGAGAGGUCCCGACUAGAGGAGGGGGCAGCAUUCAUCUUUUGGCACCGGUGAGUCAGUUUGCGAAGUUGGCGGCAGCGAGACCCCGAGGCAUCUGGGAGACCCCGGAGUUCUGACUGCCCUACUCCGCUUUCGUUUCCUUCCCCCCACCCCUGGCUUCCCGGGUAUUGGAAGCCAGCUGGGUCCCCGGGGUCGCAGGCCGCCCAGAGGUUCGAGCCGCGCGCCGGGGUGGGGCAGCGCGGGGCACCGCCUCCCUCCAUACCUUCUCUCCCCGUGGAGCACAUAGGAGCUGCGGAAGAAGCCCAGGAGCUCAUUCUCGAUGAGCGCGUUGUAGAUAAUCUUCAGAUUGUAAUUCCUCUGCGCGUCCAGUGUCCUAUUCAGCACCACCACUAAGACCUGGGUUUGCGGGUAGAGGAAAAAACCGGCUACAGGGACAGCCCCGAACGCCCGGUCCUCGGCCAGCUGCACUUUCUCCACCGCCACUCGGGAAGCGUGCAGCACUACGUAGCGGGUGGCGUUCCGGCACGCGAUCUCCACGUUGACCUCCCCGGAGAAGGUGAAGUUCUCCAUGAAGGCGGUGAGCAUCAGAUUGUAGUGCAGCGGCUUCAGGUGGCCCGACAGGCGCAGCUGCGUCCACGGCUCCCACGGCUCCCGCUCCUCCUCCGACGGCGGCUGGGCCGACGUGGUCCCCGGACUGGCCACCCCACCCGCCUCGGGCUGCCAGGAGUCCCCGCCUGCGUGGUGGUUGCGCCGGGCCGAUCCAGGGAGGCUCCCGUUGCCGCCGCGCUCCGGAAAGCCUGAGGGGCCACCGUCGGCGCCUGGCGUGGCACUCGCCCCGCACUCGUCGAAGCGCAGGCUGAGCAGCACAGCGAGCAUUGUGACCGCGAGCAAUGCCACGAGGGACACAGCGAAGGCCAGCACAAGCCGCUUGUGUACGGCGAUGUGGCGCUCCGUGGUGCGGGGUCGCACUCCCACUGAGUCUGCCCACGGGUCGGAGAGCCCCCUGCUGCCAGCCCGAAGCGCGGCGUCGUCUUCCCCCAUCGCGGCUGCGAAGGCGGCGGCGUUCGGUCCUCUGGGUGGAAUGUGCUCGCAGCAGCAGUGACGGCGGCCACAGCACGGGAGGCACCCGAGCCAUACACCCUGCAGCUGGAGAGAAAAGGAUGGCCGAGGUGGGAGAGACUAGAGUGAACCAGCAGGAGGAAGUCCCAGGGCCGCGAAGCUACGACGGAGAUCCGUCCUGGAAAAGCCUUCUCCACCCUGGGCACUUUAAGCGGCGGUGGCGGCAAACGGCAGGAGGUUGCAGACCCGACAGCGAGACUCCCUCAUUCCAGUCUUGCUCUGCCCUCCGGAGAUGACAAGUGAGAAAGAAGUGUCCGGCCGGGCCAUCCCCUUCAGAGAAGCAACCACUUCACAAGAAGAUUCUGAAGUUGGCCAUUUUUGAUCCCAGAACAGUUUCUCAUAGAUUAGAAAUAUUGGAGUCUACACAAAAAUCGAUAUUCAUUUACAAGAUCAUCACUAAACUUAUCUUGCAUAACUUACCAAGAAUAACUGUAAAAUGUGCUGGGAAUGCAAUGUCCUGAGAUAAGGAAGAACUGCCUGAAACAGCCUGGAUCUUAUUCCUGUACUUCCUAGGGAAUGUAACAUCUCAAGUUAAAGAGGAACUGCCCGGAACAGCCCGGGGAUUGUUCCUCUCUCCUGAGAAGGAAGAUUACCUCCAAAGCUCAUCCACUGAGUCACACUGCCCCUGUGGUGGAGGGCGGGCUGCCUUUCCAGGUUCCUCAGCUGUGGUGUAACUGAAGCAGGCACAAUCAAGACUCCAUCUGCUCGAGGCAGCUUUCUCGAACCUUGGGGAACCUACUCACAAUGGAUCACAGGCUUCUUUUGUUUUGUUUCUUGCUGCCUAUCUGUAAGUAAUUAACUUGCUUCAUGUAACGUGUUGCAUAUGAGUGUGUUCUGUCUCAUAGACUCAGGGAAUUGGUAACACUGCAGCUGAGGACGCAGUGGACAGAAGUGUUCAGACUCCUGUUCCUUGUGGUUGACACAGUGAUGAUGAUCUCUUCUGUCCUCCACAGAGUGGAAGUCCUCUCUUGGGAUUGGUUAUUGGUGAAACCACUUCGCAAUUUAUUAAGAUGGCAAAAGCUUACGGAGGGACAGAUUUGAGGGGAAGAUCAAGAUUUUUCUGUCAGUAUUGCAAAUAGUCAAGAAUAUGUGGUCCAAGAAGUGAUCAUUAUCUUUGGCAUUGUGCAAGUCAUUAGUGACCUUCACAUGAACAGUCUCAGUGGAGUGUUGGAGGAAAAAGCCUAACUGAAGAAGGUUCAAGAGUGAAUGGAAAAAGAGCAGUAGUAUGUGGAGAGUACAGACAAGUAUUUCCAGGAGCCUUUCUGUAAAGAGUGGUAGAGAAUGGGACAUCAUUUUUGGAUGGGGGAAGAGUUAUUUAUAGCAUGUUCAUAUGCUAAUGGAAGUGAUCUACUCAUGGGGAAAAUCUUGAUGAUGCAAGAAAGAAAGGGAUUUGUUGGAAUCUUGUCCUAUAACGGGUGAGAGGGGAUGGGUUCUAGAAGAAAAGGCAUGGGUCUUUGUUUGAGAUCAGGCAAUUCAUCUGUAGGAACCAGUAGGAAGAUGGUUAAGUGGGUACCUGUGGUAGUGGAUGUUUGUGAACAUUCUUUUCUUUUCCAUUGUUUCUAUUUUCUCAAUAAAGUGGGAAGCAAAAAUCAGCUGAGUGAAGAUGAGGAAGAAGGUGUUAAAGGUUUGAAGAAAAAAGGAAAAGGAUAUACUAAUCUAAGAGGACAAGUAAGUAGAACAUAGAUAAUGAAAAUGCUGGCCCUUAGGACUGUUGGGCCUAAAUGCUCAUAUUAUAUUGGUAGUCACAAAUUUGAACUUUCUCUAGAGCCAAUUUUUGCAUGUGUGUGCAGGCCUGGAGUAGUUGGAGAGUUGGAUUUAAUAGAAUUGAGGGUCAAGCAACUACAACCAGGGAAGAGUGGGACAAGGGAGAUAAAGGAUAUUGGCAGGGGAGCAAUUAUAAACAUGGACCAUGAUCAAAACUGGACAGGAAGGAAAAUAGAGAUAAGAGGGGUGGAAGGUUAAAAAUAGUGAAAAUGAGAUAGAAUGAAUAGGUUGUAGGUCCCUGUAAAGUUGAAGAAGUAUUAUUAUGCAGUACUCGUUAUUGAAAUGAGGUCACUAUGCUUAAGGCACAGUGAAUCCUAGAAAAUAGUGGUUUUGUUUCUCAUUAGGCAAUACAUUCCUCCUUGCUCCAGAAUGCAACAUACAUGUAUCCUUUUCUGUACUAUUUUUUAUUAAGAAUUCAUACUUAAUUCCACUGACUGCCACUCAAUUUUAAUGUACAGUAGGGAAUUCCUGUACUAUGUAUUAUGAAUCCAUUCCUUUGAAUUUCAUUUAUAAUACUUCAUGACUGACACCUGGCUUUCCACCAAGACUCAAUUUUCAUAGCAAGCCUCAUCAUCAUAAGCCCCCAAAUUAACAGGAUGAGGAGGAAGAAUUGGCAGGCUAAAGAAGAUGAUUAUAUCAAUUAAUGCAGAAAAAGCAUUUGAUAAAAUCCAAUAUUCAUUUGUAAUUAAAAACUCUCAGCAAGUUAGGGAUAGGAAUUACUUCAACUUAAUGAAGAGUGUCUUUAAAAACCUUAUUUUCAUCAGUUAUAACAAAUGUACCACUCUGGUGGUGAAUGUUGCUAAGGAGGGAAGCUAUACAUGUGUGGGGAAAGGAGAUGUGUGAGCAAUUUCUGUACCUUCUACUCAAUCUUCUGUGAGACUAAAAUUGCUGUAA